rnacentral:rRNA from 1 species
CACGUAGGGGCCAAGCGUUGUCCGGAUUUAUUGGGCGUAAAGAGCUCGUAGGCGGUUCGACAAGUCGGGUGUGAAAACUCCGGGCUCAACCCGGAGACGCCACCCGAUACUGUCGUGACUGGAGUCCGGUAGGGGAGUGGGGAAUUCCUGGUGUAGCGGUGAAAUGCGCAGAUAUCAGGAGGAACACCGGUGGCGAAGGCGGGUCUCUGGGCCGAUACUGACGCUGAGGAGCGAAAGCGUGGGGAGCGAACAGG